AACGGGUGGAGCUUGCGGUUUAAUUGGAUUCAACGCCGGAAAUCUUACCGGGACCGACAGCAAUAUGAAGGCCAGGCUGAAGACUUUGCCGGAUUAGCUGAGAGGUGGUGCAUGGCCGUCGUCAGUUCGUACUGUGAAGCAUCCUGUUAAGUCAGGCAACGAGUGAGACCCACGCCAACAGUUGCCAGCAUGUCCUCCGGGAUGAUGGGGACACUGUUGGGACCGCUCUGCUAAAGAGGAGGAAGGAAUGGGCAACGGUAGGUCAGCAUGCCCCGAAUUAUCCGGGCUACACGCAGGCUACAAUGGUCAGGACAAUGGGUAUCGACACCGAGAGGUGGAGGCAAUCUCCUAAACCUGUCCUUAGUUCGGAUUGUGGGCUGCAACUCGCCCACAUGAAGCUGGAAUCCGUAGUAAUCGCGUUUCAAAAUAGCGCGGUGAAUAUGUCCCUGCUCCUU
rnacentral:rRNA from 1 species